rnacentral:rRNA from 1 species
CAUUACCGAGAACGCCCUGGGGAUGCUUGCUGGCCCGUUACAAACCUUUCGGGCAUGUGCACUCCCCGGAGUUUUUCCAGUGAACCCUCACUUGACACCAUGUGCACCUUUUGUAGGCUCGAGAAAUCGGCCUACGUUUUCUCUCUUACACACACAUACCACACUUUGAAUGUAUUUUGUUUGCAAAAUAAUUUGAAACACAACUUUCAACAAUGGAUCUCUUGGCUCUCGCAUCGAUGAAGAACGCAGCGAAAUGCGAUACGUAAUGUGAAUUGCAGAAUUCCGUGAAUCAUCGAAUCUUUGAACGCACCUUGCGCCCCUUGGUAUUCCGAGGGGCAUGCCUGUUUGAGUGUCAUUGAAUUCUCAAAAACCCUUGAACCGCGAGGUUUCAGGUUUUUGGUUAUGGAGAGUGCCGGCCUUCAACCGAGUUCGGCUCCUCUGAAAAGCAUUAGCAAAACCCUCUCCCCGAUGGCUUUGUGGCAUUGAUAAGACUGUCCAUGCCUUGCCCUUCUGCGGAAAGCGGUUGCUUCAACAAUCGUCUGAAGUGACAGACAAUUUUUUUUUCUUGACCAUUGACCUCAAAUCAGGUAGGACUACCCGCUGAACUUAAGCAUAUCAAUAA